AUUGAACGCUGGCGGCAUGCCUUACACAUGCAAGUCGAACGGCAGCACGGGAGCAAUCCUGGUGGCGAGUGGCGAACGGGUGAGUAAUACAUCGGAACGUGCCCAGUCGUGGGGGAUAACGUAGCGAAAGUUACGCUAAUACCGCAUACGAUCUAUGGAUGAAAGCGGGGGAUCGCAAGACCUCGCGCGAUUGGAGCGGCCGAUGGCAGAUUAGGUUGUUGGUGGGGUAAUGGCUUACCAAGCCUCCGAUCUGUAGCUGGUCUGAGAGGACGAUCAGCCACACUGGGACGGGAAAACGGACCAGACUCCUACGGGAGGCAGCAGUGGGGAAUUUUGGACAAUGGGCGAAAGCCUGAUCCAGCAAUGCCGCGUGCCGGACGAAGGCCUUCGGGUUGUAAACUGCUUUUGUACGGAGCGAAACGGCUCUCACUAAUACUGGGGGCUAAUGACGGUACCGUAAGAAUAAGCACCGGCUAACUACGUGCCAGCCGCCGCCGUAA
rnacentral:rRNA from 1 species